GUGCUCACUUCUGCAGCACAUAAACUAAAAUUGGAAAGAUACAAAGAAAAUUAGCAUGGCUUCUAUGCAAGGAUGACACUCAAAGAGGAAAAAUUUUGACAACCAUG